rnacentral:rRNA from 1 species
GUCUCUUUGAUUACUAAAUAUAAAGAGUUUGACCUGCCCACUGAUAAUGAUUUAACGGCCGCAGUAUCCUAACUGUGCAAAGGUAGCAUAAUAAUUUGCCUUAUAAUUAAUGGCUAGUAUGAACGGUUUGACGAAAGCGUUCCUGUCUCAAAUAUAUUUUUCAUAAUUUAUCUUUUAAGUUAAAAGACUUAAAUAAAACUAAAGGACGAGAAGACCCUAUCGAGCUUUAAAAAAAUUCUUUAAGAAAAUGUAUUAUUAAAAUCUAUUUUUCAAAAAUAUUUUUUGGUUGGGGCGACCUAGGAACAAAUAAAGCUUCCUUAAGCAAACUAAGUAGAUAUAUGCAAAUGAUCCGAUACGUUAAUGUUGAUAAAUGAAAUUAGUUACCGUAGGGAUAACAGCGUUAUUUUUUCUAAGAGAUCUUAUUAAAGAAAAAGUUUGCGACCUCGAUGUUGGAUUGAGAUAGCUCAAAGGUGCAGAAGCUUUUAUAAGUUAGUCUGUUCGACUAUAAAAAUCUCACAUGAUCUGAGUUCAGACCGG